UGGGGAAUCUUAGACAAUGGGGGCAACCCUGAUCUAGCCAUGCCGCGUGAGUGAUGAAGGCCUUAGGGUUGUAAAGCUCUUUCAGUGGGGAAGAUAAUGACGGUACCCACAGAAGAAGCCCCGGCUAACUCCGUGCCAGCAGCCGCGGUAAUACGGAGGGGGCUAGCGUUGUUCGGAAUUACUGGGCGUAAAGCGCACGUAGGCGGAUCGGAAAGUCGGGGGUGAAAUCCCGGGGCUCAACCCCGGAACUGCCUUCGAAACUAUCGGUCUGGAGUCCGAGAGAGGUGAGUGGAAUUCCGAGUGUAGAGGUGAAAUUCGUAGAUAUUCGGAGGAACACCAGUGGCGAAGGCGGCUCACUGGCUCGGUACUGACGCUGAGGUGCGAAAGCGUGGGGAGCAAACAGGAUUAGAUACCCCCGUAGUCC
rnacentral:rRNA from 1 species